CCACACGACUCUCGGCAACGGAUAUCUCGGCUCUCGCAUCGAUGAAGAACGUAGCAAAAUGCGAUACCUGGUGUGAAUUGCAGAAUCCCGCGAACCAUCGAGUUUUUGAACGCAAGUUGCGCCCGAGGCCUUCUGGCCGAGGGCACGUCUGCCUGGGCGUCACGC
rnacentral:rRNA from 2 species